UUGAAUAGCUGACGGGUGAAUGUCUUUUGGCGGCAGGAAUGCAACAGUGUAAAUGCUAUAGAGUUCAAAGAAAUUAUGUCCUCAAGGCUAAAUUCAAACAGUGUAUUAACAGGACAACAAACACUGAUUUUCUUUUUCUGAUAUUACUCCGAAUGAGAGGAAAUGAUAGGAACAUCAUCAAGGGAUUUGUAAUAUUAUUUUGGUGAUAACCAGCGCAAGAAUUAACCUGGUGCUGAAUAAGAUGUUAUACCCUAUGGAAUACCACCACAUAUUGCAUGUACAGGUC